rnacentral:lncRNA from 1 species
UCAUCAGAUUCCCAACCUUCGCUGGCCCGAGGCCCAAAGCGCUGAGCCUCAUCGUUCCCUGGGCAACGUCAUAGCUGGUGCUCAGCACGAAGUGGAACCACAGCAGUGACUUCUGCUGCGAGGAGUAAAAUUAGGCAGUUUCACAGGCAACAUGCAUGAUCUUGUUCAUCUGCAAGGUUCACAGACAGGAUGUAACCUUAUGUAAGAUGGAAACCUGUGAAGAAAGAUACAGAUAGCAGUUGGAGUUAAAAGUAGCAGACGAAUAUUUCUCUUCUUAAGUGGCAAGGAGUGAAUGUGAUGGAUUUAUCUUCAGAAAUGAACAAACAUGGAAGGAAUCCAGUAAGUCACAAGCUAGAAGAUCAGAAGAAGCUGUAGAGGCUGCCAGCGUUCUCCGUCUCCGUCAGAGAUGUGGCAGUUGCUCUUCAUUCUCAAUUGAAGAGGUAGCCUUCAAAUACUAUCGGUUGCUGCGAGUGCCCUGCUUUAACUGAGUGCCUAAACUGAAGCCAGUAAAGAAGUUGCAUGGUAAAUGAAUGGCAG